GUGAGGAAUAUUGCGCAAUGGGGGCAACCCUGACGCAGCCACGCCGCGUGUCGGAAGAAGGUCCUUUGGAUCGUAAACGACUUUUAUCGGGGAAGAAGCCCCGGGUUUCGACCUGGGAAUGACGGUACCCGAAGAAUAAGCACCGGCUAACUCCGUGCCAGCAGCCGCGGUAAUACGGAGGGUGCGAGCGUUGUCCGGAAUCAUUGGGUGUAAAGGGUGCGUAGGCGGGUUUUUAAGUCUGGGGUGAAAUGCUGCGGCUCAACCGUAGCACUGCCUUGGAUACUGGGGACCUUGAGUGUGACAGAGGCAGGUAGAAUUCGUGGUGUAGCGGUGAAAUGCAUAGAUAUCACGAAGAAUACCAGUGGCGAAGGCGGCCUGCUGGGUCACAACUGACGCUGAGGCACGAGAGCGUGGGGAGCAAACAGGAUUAGAAACCCUAGUAGUCC
rnacentral:rRNA from 1 species